GAUAUUUUAUAGAUACAUAAUUCCAUAAGAGACGGGCAUAAAGCGAGUCCUUCUUUAUUAUCUACACUUGCUCGAGAGAAUGACGUCCCCAGCCAUUUCGAGCUUCCGCUCUUCGAAUACCUUCUAGUAAUUACUCUGUGUGCAUUCUCCUCGUCGGAUUGUGGGUCCCGCUUCCUAGAACAAGCUCCUCCCAUGGGAAUUUAACCUUAAAAGCUGCUAAAGAUUAAGUAACUCAGCUUUUGAGGUUCAUGUCCUUAACCUAUGAAACGGAGACGAUUGAAUAUAGAAUUUUAAGUAAUAAGGUGAGAGAAAGUGAUGGCGAUCAUGACGACGAUUGAAUAGAUAGGGUUUGUGAAGAAGAAGGAAGGUUUGAGAAGGUAAAGCGUGUAUGUAUAUGUGUGAAGGUGUAUGUAUAGGUGGAGGAGUAUGAGUGAUCGAACCGGCAGAUGAAAGAAACGUGGAGGUUUGGAGUUUGAUGAUUC
rnacentral:lncRNA from 1 species